AACCCCUGGGGUGCACUAAAGCGUUUGCCACAGUCGGUGCAUUCGUAUGGAGUCUUGCCUGAAUGGCGCAGUUGGUGGUUUUCCAGGUAACCUUGCGUCUCAAACAGCUGGCCACAGACCGGACAUGUGAAGCCCCAGUUUUCUUGGUGAGCAGACAGGUGCUUUUCAAAACGCUCCUUGAUGAAGAAAAUACGAGAGCACAGGUGGCAGUGCAGCUUCUGGUGCAGGUGACGCC